rnacentral:lncRNA from 1 species
AGUGCCCACUCUUAAGCAAUUGGUCACUUGUGAUGAUUAGUAUGCUGUGCACUCUGAUGGACCAAAAUACUUAAUUUUGUGCACUAAAAUGUGGAAAACUGAAGAUAGAAGAAGCCAAUGAGAAAAAAAAUUAUCAUAAAAUUAUCAAUUGGAAAAAGUAUGUUUUGACUUCUGUACUAAUUACUACCAACUGUUUUCAUACUAGCAUGAAAAUAAACCCACCACAAUUGGUCUAGAAUACCUAAGGAUUGAAUUACUCUACAGAUAAAACAUACGCAUAUUAUGUUAUGUGCUUUUAAAAUAGUAAGGAAGGGCAACAUGGUCUUCAUAUACACCUGUCAUCUAAACCAAACAUGUGAGCCAAAAAGCAAAGAAAUAUUUUUCCCCAAAGCUGAGGCAACAUUUAAACAACCAUUGCCUUUAAGAAUCAGGUUACACAGACACAAAAGUAAAUAAAUAACUGAAAUGGAAAUCACUACCCAUGGCUCUGAGUUAGGCUUCUUCUUAUGAGCUAGCCAUUUCCCAGCAGGCGAUGCACUUGCUGACAGAAAAACUGUGUGAUGCUGUCAGUAAUAGAAUGGACUCUCAGCAUUCUACACAGAGAACAAAGUGUCAUUGGUUAGCAAUCUCAUAGUGAGAUAAUCACAGGAAUAGAACUGGAGUAGGGCACUGCCAUGUCACUCACUAGCAAUAAUGGUACCCAGUGCUAUGCAAGCACUGUUUAAUGAAACCAGAGAUUUCUGUCUUCACUCUUUAGGUUAGGGAGGCUGAGGGCUUACUCUGCAAUACUGAUCAUAGAGGGCAGUCAUGAUUUAUGCUGGACUAAAAAGAUUUAAUAAAGAACAACACAGGAAAAUACUUUUUUUUUGUCUUUAAUUUUUGUUCUUGGAUAUUUUAUUUGUUUAUAUUUCAAAUGUUUUCCCUUUUCCAGGUCUCUCUUACAGAAAUCCCCUAUCCGAUUCUCUCCCCCUUCCUCUAUCAGGGUGCUCCCCACCCCCACCCACUCCCAUCUUCCUGCCCUGGCAUUUCCUUACACUGGCGAAUUGAACACCCUCAGGCCCGAGGACUUCUCCCACUGUUGUCCAACAAGGCAAUCUUCUGGCACAUAUGUGGCCAGCGCCAUGGGGCACUCCAUGUGUAUCCUAUGGUUGGUGGUCCAGUCCUCUGGAGAUCCAUCUGUCCUGAUGACACUGUUGCUCUUUCCAUGGGGCUGCCGAAAUAUUUUACAGACAAUCAUGAAAACUAGUGUGAUAAAAAAGUACACAUGAUGAAAACAAAUGGUUCUCUCCAUGUGUUUUCAAUGAUUAAAUUAGGAUUUCAAAGUCAUAGAUACUUCCCCACUCCUGCCACAGGCUUAUACAUAGGGCACACUGUGGUUACUUGGGCUUCAGCUGUACAGUAGUACACAUCAUUUGGAGGUUUAGAAUGCUGUGCAGCAACCCAUUUUUUUUUCAACACACUCAACUCCAGUUGAAGGAGUGAUGUGAUGAAGAGGAAGAUAUUUUAACAUCACUUAUCAGUACUAUAUUAAUAGGCCCUGCUACAAUACAGCCACACCUUCUAGAGUUAUGGUCAAUAUAUAGAAAAUAUCUUUU